GAUAAACGAUUGGGCCACAUAUUCGACAAAGCCCAGUCACCGCUUGACCACGAUCAAAAUCCGAAGCCCAACUCCUUCACACUGCCAGAGAUGGCGAGCUCCUUCAUCGCGUUCAAGUCCUCCAUAGGCCGGAGAGCUCUGGAACUACCAGCACCAGUCCCAAUCGCACACAAACCUUCCCGCAGUUGUUUGAAUCUCCGAAGAACUCGCUCUUCCAGAAUUACAUGUGAUUACUCAUGCUUUGAAGUUAGGGAUGUUAGCUAUCGACCUCCUGGGACCCAGGUCAGCCUUCUAAGUGCAGUUAAUUUUUCACUUCCAGAGAAAAGUUUUGGUUUAAUAUUUGGACGAAGUGGAAGUGGAAAAACUACUCUGUUGCAGCUUCUUGCAGGGCUUAGUAAACCAACCUCAGGUUCCAUUUAUAUUCAAAGAUAUGGAAAUGAUGGUAAUCCAAAUCAAUCUCCUGAGCUCUUACCCCCAGAGAGAGUUGGUAUUGUUUUUCAGUUUCCUGAGAGGUACUUCGUGGCAGAUAAUGUGCUUGAGGAAGUUACGUUUGGGUGGCCAAGGCAAAGGGGUGACUUGCAAUUCAAGGAGCAUCUUGCGUUGAGACUCCAAAGAGCAAUUAAUUGGGUUGGUUUAAAUGGGAUCUCCUUGGACAAAGAUCCUCAUACCCUUAGUGGUGGCUAUAAACGUCGGCUUGCCUUGGCAAUUCAACUAGUACAAACCCCAGAUUUAUUGAUAUUGGAUGAGCCUCUUGCUGGUCUUGAUUGGAAGGCACGUGCAGAUGUUGUGAAGCUUUUGAAGUUUCUAAAGAAAGAAUUAACUGUACUAGUUGUCAGCCAUGACCUCAAAGAAUUAGCAACUCUAGUUGAUCGAUCCUGGAGGAUGGAAAUGGGUGGAGUUCUUAGGGAAGAGCCCCUACCAAUUUAAAUAUGGGAAUAUGCUUUUUCCUUCAUCAACAUCUGGUGCUGUGAGCCUGUGAGGUGUGAUCGUGACAUUUAAUAACCUAUUAUAAGCUUGCCUUUAGACCGCCUUGACUGCCAUGAAGAGCAUUUUUUUUUUUUACUGUGGCGGAAUCACGAAGACAGGAUUGCCAGCCAUUAAAUUCAUUGUACCCCACAAGCAUCUUUGGAGGUUAGAGUGAGCUGAGGAGAAGGCUGUGGUAGGCUUGGAGACAAAACCCUACAGCAAUCUUUAAUCUGAGAGACCCUUUUUGCAGGUGUGUUAUGAAAGACAACUGUACACUUCCCAUUGCUGUAUGACCCUAUUCACUAAUUUCAACUCCCAACCCUGAAAGCACCAUGGGUCGGUGAUGAUUAGGCUCCUCUCCAUUUCAUGGUGCAUAUUACAAUUUACAUGUGUAUGCAUUGUCACAUGAAGAAUAUGUUGUCAAUUUUUAAAUGACAUGACAAUAUUUACAUCGUUAAAUGCAAAAUUUAAACCCAUUUUACCAAUAUGUGGAUAGGAUCCUGUUCUUUUGAGCAGGAUAUUUCCUUGGAUUUUGUAUAUUGGAAAUUAACUGUUCUUAA